CUCCCAAGUAGCUGGGAUUACAGGCACACCGCCAUGCUCGACUAAUUUUUUGUAUUUUAGUAGAGACGAGGUUUCACCAUGUUGGCCAGGCUGGUCUUGAACUACUGAGCUCAGGCAAUCUGCUCGCCUCGGCCUCCCAAAGUGCUAGGAUUACAGGUGUGAGCCACCGCGCCCGGCCACCUCACUGUCUUUUAAACUACACAGGGGCAGGAACUGCUGGCAGUAAUGGACGAGACAAUUAAAGGCAGAUCUUACAUUCUUAGGAAGAAUUAUGGCCAAAAUUUAUGGUAUUAACUCCCACAGGAAAACAAAGAAGCUACAGACAAAAUAAUCCAUCCAGAAGAUUUCCCAUUAGCUGAGAAAAAGUGUGAUUUCUUGCAUGUCCCACCUACACAUCCUCAAGCAAGAAGGCACUUACUGCUUGCUUGGCAAGAAAACCAACUCAGAGGCCUUAACUGCAGGGAGGCCAAUCAAAAUCCCUACUGCGACCAAACAAGUAGAAACCUGUGACACAGGUAUUCCCCAGAAGCAACACUAUUUAAGUCAUUUCCCCCCAAGCUUUUGGCCAAGAUGCACACAAACAAUUUUGUGCAGGGAAGAUCAUGUGAUCUAAUGGCUAAAGUAAGCAACCAGGAAGCAUUAGGCCAAGCUUAUCCAACCUGUCGCUCGUGAGUCACAUGCAGCCCAGGACGGCUUUGAAUGCAGCGCAAUACAAAUUCGUAAACUUUUUUAAGACAUUAUGAGUUUGUUUGUUUUUUAUUCCUUAGCUCAUCAGCUAUCGUUAAUGUAUUUUAUGUGUGGCCCAGGACACUUCUUCUUCCAGUGUGGGCCAGGGAAGCCAAAAGAUUGACACCCCUGGAUUAGGCAAAUUACUUAACUUCUUUGUCUGCUUCCCUGAAUGUAAAACAGGAAAAUAUCUAUUCCUCAGGAAUGUGUUGAAGCUAUAGAAGAUAAC
rnacentral:lncRNA from 10 species